rnacentral:rRNA from 1 species
UACGGAAGGCAGCAGGGGGAAUAUUGCACAAUGGGCGAAAGCCUGAUGCAGCUAUGCCGCGUGUAUGAAGAAGGCCUUAGGGUUGUAAAGUACUUUCAUCGGGGAGGAAAAAACAAAACUAAUAAUUUUAUUUCUUGACGUUACCCGAAAAAGAAGCACCGGCUAACUCCGUGCCAGCAGCCGCGGUAAUACGGAGGGUGCUAGCGUUAAUCAGAAUUACUGGGCGUAAAGAGCACGUAGGUGGUUUUUUUAAGUCAGAUGUGAAAUCCCUGGGCUUUAACCUAGGAACUGCAUUUUGAAACUGAAAUACUAGAGUAUCGUAGAGGGAGGUAGAAUUCUAGGUGUAGCGGUGAAAUGCGUAGAUAUCUGGAGGAAUACCUGUGGCGAAAGCGGCCUCCUAAACGAAUACUGACACUGAGGUGCGAAAGCGUGGGGAGCAAACAGGGAUUAGAUACC